ACAUACGACCAUACCCACUGGAAAACUCGGGAUCCCGUCCGCUCUCCCAUAGAUAAGCCAGUGAGGGAUGGAGUAGUAGUUGGGUCGGUGACGACCGGCGAAUGCCCGUUGUUGUAUGUU
rfam:Colletotrichum gloeosporioides Nara gc5 unplaced genomic scaffold scaffold341, whole genome shotgun sequence.